GCCUGUGAUGAUAUCUCCGAGUUUAUGAGGUGUCGCUAGCUCCAAGUCCCUGUUUCACAGGGAGAACCUACUUGGUGCUGUAACAUUCAAAUGAUAUGAAGGGACUUCUUUGAGGC